CUGCCCCAACCCAAUUAGACCAUAACCCGGCCCAAAACCUGUUUAAAUCUUCCAUCUUUCUCCUCUUUGAGUUUCUCAUUUCUUCUAACCAGAAUGCAACCAUAAGCAUCAGUCAGCUCCCCUUUUAUCUUUUCCAACACUGAUUUCUCCUUGGACCAUCAGAUAAUAGCAAUUUCGAUAGUCCUCAACCUUCCCUCUUCCCUUUCCCCCUGCUUCCAUCAACAUGAAAGCUUAUCCAUCAACUUUAUAUCCUUUCCAUCCCUUAUUUUUAAAAUCAAAUCAAUUUCCCAAAACACUCUUAACACCUCUGUUGCGACUGAAAAGGUGAGAGGGGUGAAGAACCACCAGAUUUGAGGUUGUUAUUCUUUAAAUUUGGUGGUUCCAAUUCUCUCACCUUCAAACAGCUUUUUCCAUUCACAUCUAUCUCAAAAAGGGGUGAAAAUUUAGCUUUUACUGGUCAUUUUCUGUAAUUGAGAUUCUCAAGGUUUUAAAUUUUGAAUUCAAGCUUUUUAGUCCAAAAAGUUGAAAAAAUUCCUCAAGUUUGUCUAUAAAAGGAGCUCUUUGGGUUCCUAUUUUCUUGUGGAGGGAUGAUAAAAAAAGAAUCAUCAGAAGGGACCAAGUAAGAAGUGUCAACUAGCAAAAAAUUAGUUCAUAUUACUACUUCCAUUUCAGUUUUCUAUAAAUAAAUAUAGUCCCUCAGUAGCCUUUUAGUUUGUUUCUUGUUGAAUUUUUGCUUAUUCAAUCCCGUUGGUAUUCUCUAUUUACUGUAGUAUAUCCUUUAAAUAUGUAAAAAAUGAACAUAGAGUAUGGAGAUGGGGGGAGGGCGGGAGUGGGUGGGAGGCCAAGGUUUGGCCGAGGGGGGGGGAGUGGGGGGCGCGUGGAUAGCGACGGUAGGCUGAGGGUUGGGUCUUGGAAUAUAGGGACCCUUCAGGGGAAGUCCAUAGAGCUGGUGAAGAUUCUUAGGAAGAGAAGGAUCAACCUUGCGUGUGUCCAAGAGACCAAGUGGGUAGGGUCUAAGGCUAGGGAUGUGGACGGUUACAAGCUGUGGUACUCUGGGAGCGACAGGCGUAGGAAUGGAGUUGGCAUCUUGGUAGAUGAAGAGCUUAGAGGUCAGGUAGUGGAGGUGAAGAGGAUCAACGAUAGGUUGAUGACUAUCAAGUUGGUCAUUCGGGGGUUUACCCUGAACGUGUGUAGUGCCUAUGCGCCGCAUGUGGGAUCGGAGGGGGAGGAGAAGAUGCGGUUCUGGGAGGCCUUGGAGGACGUGGUGAGAGGCGUGCCCAGUUCGGAGAAGAUUGUGGUAGCAGGGGAUUUCAACGGGCACAUCGGGGCGCUACCGGGAGGCUUUGGGGAUGUGCAUGGAGGUUUUGGUUUUGGGGAGAGAAAUGAAGAGGGGGCGACCCUAUUGGAGUUUGCGAGGGCGUUUGGGCUGGUGGUGGUGAACUCGGGCUUCCCGAAGAAGGACGACCACCUGAUCACUUUUCGGAGCGCGGUAGCCAGGACCCAGAUUGACUUCUUGUUGCUUAGGAAAGGGGAUAGGGCGCUGUGUAAAGAUUGUAAAGUCAUCCCGAGUGAGAACCUUUCGACCCAACAUAGGCUCUUGGUUAUGGAUUUGGGUAUGAAGAAGAAUAAAAAGAGGAGGAGUAAGGAGUGUAGACCGAGAAUUAAGUGGGGCGGUUUGACGCCAGUGAAUGCGUGGGAGAUAGGGGAGAGGUUGGCGGGAAUGGGGGUGUGGGAGUGUAGGGGGGACGUGGAUAAUAUGUGGGACAGGGCGGCAGCGUGCAUCAGGGAAAAUGCAAGGGAGGUGUUGGGUGUUUCUAGGGGCCGGGCCGGACAUCAUCGGGGGGAUUGGUGGUGGAAUGAAGAGGUGGGGAAGAAAGUGGAGACCAAGAAAGAGUCGUAUGCUAAGUUGGUGGAAAGUAAGGACGAAGAGGAGAAGCGGGUAAACAGGAAAGAGUACAAGCUAGCAAGGAAGGAGGCGAAGUCAGCGGUCACGGCAGCUAAGACGGCUGCUUUUGAGAGCUUGUAUGCAGGGUUACAGGGGAAAGGAGGGGAGAAAAAGUUGUUCCGACUCGCUAAGGCUAGGGAGAGGAAGGGUCGUGACCUCGAUCAGGUGCGGUGCAUUAAGGGGGAGGACGGUAGAGUGUUGGUGGAGGACGGCCACAUAAAGAAGAGAUGGCAGUCGUACUUUCAUAGGCUCUUGAAUGACGAGGGGGACAGAGCUAUUGUGUUAGGGGAACUGGAGCACUCAGGGGAGUGUCGGGAUUUUAGCUAUUGUAGACGUUUUAAGGUAGACGAGGUUAGACAGGCAGUCCGCAGGAUGCGAAGGGGUAGGGCGACGGGGCCGGAUGAGAUACCGGUGGAGUUUUGGAAGUUCGUUGGAGAGGCUGGUGUAAGGUGGUUGACUGCAUUGUUCAAUGAAAUUUUCAGGACAGCAAAGAUGCCCGAGGCGUGGAGGUGGAGUACCAUGAUCCCCCUCUAUAAGAAUAAGGGGGACAUUCAGUGUUGCAAUAACUAUAGGGGGAUUAAGUUACUGAGUCACUCUAUGAAGAUCUGGGAGAGAGUGGUCGAGGUGAGGCUGAGACGGAUAGUGUCUAUCUCGGAAAACCAGUUCGGAUUUAUGCCCGGCCGCUCGACGACGGAGGCAAUUCACCUGGUACGGCGGUUGGUGGAGCAAUAUAGGGAAAGGAAGAAGGAUUUGCACAUGGUGUUCAUCGACCUAGAAAAGGCGUACGACAAAGUCCCCAGGGAGGUGCUUUGGAGAUGCUUGGAGGUGAGUGGAGUACCGCAGGCAUAUAGCAGAGUAAUUAAGGAUAUGUAUGAGGGAGCGAAAACCCAGGUGAGGACGGCGGGAGGAGACUCAGAGCAUUUCACUGUCCUGACAGGAUUGCAUCAGGGAUCUACUCUUAGUCCCUUUUUGUUUGCGCUAGUAAUGGAUGUGUUAACGCGGCGUAUCCAAGGGGAGGUGCCGUGGUGUAUGCUUUUUGCAGACGAUGUAGUCCUGAUAGAUGAGACGCGAGGGGGUGUGAACGACAAAUUAGAGCUGUGGAGGCAAACUCUGGAGUCUAAAGGGUUCAGGGUGAGCAGAACCAAGACAGAGUAUGUGGAAUGUAAGUUUAAUGACGUAAGGCGAGAGAAUGAGGUAGUGGUGAGGCUAGAAGCGCAGGAGGUAAAGAAAAGGGAUAAGUUCAAGUACCUCGGGUCCGUGAUCCAGAGUAACGGUGAGAUUGACGAGGAUGUCUCGCACCGUAUCGGGGCGGGAUGGAUGAAGUGGAAACUUGCAUCGGGGGUGCUGUGUGAUAAGAAGGUGCCGCCCAAGCUUAAAGGUAAAUUCUAUAGGGUGGUAGUCCGUCCGGCCUUGCUGUAUGGAGCGGAGUGUUGGCCAGUUAAGAACUCCCACACCCAAAGAAUGAAGGUGGCAGAAAUGCGGAUGUUGCGCUGGAUGUGUGGACUGACCCGAAGGGAUAGAGCUCGGAAUGAGACUAUCCGGGAGAAGGUUGGGGUGACUUCAGUGGAGUGUAAGAUGCGGGAAGCACGAUUGAGAUGGUUCGGACACGUGAAGAGGAGGGGCAUGGAUGCCCCGGUCCGUAGGUGUGAGAGGCUAGCGUUGGAUGGUUUUAGACGGGGUAGGGGUAGACCGAAGAAGUACUGGGGUGAGGUGAUUAGGCGGGACAUGGAACAGUUACAGCUUACCGAGGACAUGACCCUAGAUAGGAAGGUCUGGAAGACGCGAAUUACGGCAGAGGAUUAGGGCCUGUUCGGGUCGCUAAUGUAGGGAGGUAAUUGGUGGGGGUGUAUCCCUGGUAUGAUUCCGUAUUUCAAUGUUCUGUUCCGUGUUCCGUGUUCUAUGUUUGUUACGAAUCUGUGUGCUUUCCUCUGCUUUAUAUUCCUGCAUUCCUGCUUUACUCUGUUUUAUAUUCCUUAUGGCUGCAGUAUCUAUGUUAUGUCAUCUGCUUCUGUGCUGUACUAUGUGUUUGUUUGAUAUCUCGUAACUUGAGCCGGGGGUCUUUCGGAAACAGCCUUUCUACUUCAUCAGAGGUAGAGGUAUGGACUGCGUACAUCUUACCCCCCCCAGACCCCACAAAGUGGGAAUACACUGGGUUUGUUGUUGUUGUUGUUGUUGUAUGACUUUCUUUUGGAUUAGUAUAUUGUUUUGGGUUUAUUUCGAUGUUGGCUGCCUUAACGUCGCAAUAGUGACUUAGAUGUGUUCCUAUUCGGAUUGUCUGUUCAUAAGGUCCUGACAGCGUUAAUUUUGUCCAAAAAAUAUUUUGAAUAGUUUAAAACUUUAUAUAUUCUUGGCUGUUCAUUAGGGAAUAUUGUAACUUCUUUUGCUUGAACACCUAAAGAUGACAACAAAUUGGUGCCGUUUUGGGAUAGCGGAUAACCCUUUACUUAUACAUGAUUUUAGUUUCUAACUUAGCGUGAAAACAGGUCAGGUCAUCAAGCCUUAAGUUUUGGGAAAGUGUUUCACUGUAUAUUGAAGCUCUUUAUUUUUGUUUGAUUUCGUAAGAAUUAUCAAGCCAUGUUUAUUGGUCAUCUCAUCUAGUUUAUUGCCAUAAGGGUUGCUUAUAUGUGAACAUAUGAGUGUAUGGUUGGUUGAUAAUAUGGGUUUGAAUCACUGUCAAAAGUAGCAUAAAAUGUAAAUGAUUCACUAAAACGGAAUUCUUAUUUCACAAAUUAUCUGUUUUGAUGAAUCUUUAAAUAAAUCUGUCAAACUCACUUAUAGUUCAGGUUAUCAUUUUAAAAAAUCUGAAGCUGACCCCUCCCUUAUUCAACAUUCUUGAUCCUUCUGAAACAUAGAUACAUAAAUUUCGUCAUUGGUUAAAUGUCCCUCAAAUUUAGUAGAACUUCUUUCCCUUUCUCGAUUAUUUGUGAUAUGUCAACGUGUUUGUAUGUAUUGGCUGAUUAUAAUUCCUUAGUCACAAAGUUCAUUAACAUACUAUUCUAGUUCGUUUUAGUUGUCAAAUACAUAAACUGUGUGAAUCAGUUUGAUGCUGGUAGUUUAGCUACGUCUUUGUUUGGAUAUUGUGUUUGUAAGAUGCUAACAGCAUUUAUUUCAUCAUGAAAGGGCUCUAGAAUAUCUUAACUCUAAGUAUGUUUGGUUGUCCAUUGUGAAAUUUAUGGAAGACUAGUUGCCAUAAGUAUGUUUGAUUGUCCAUUGUGGAAUUUAUGGAAGAAUAGUCGUGACGGCAGCUACCUUGUUAUCUCCUUGGUUUACUAUACAUUUGUGAACACUUUCAGCUUCCAAAUUUGAAGAAGGACGCUAUGCCGGUUUUUAAAAAAGUUUGAAAUGGGACUAAGUUUUUAAUGCAGAUUACUGCUUUUUUACAUAACAGGAAUAUGAAAGUUGUAACUUAAAGUUUCAAUUAUAUGAAUAAUUGUGAGUCCUCCCUAUCGCAUUAACUCUGUUAUUUUAUUGUUCUCCCCUUGUUAAUGGAAUUUAUUCAUUUUUUUAGGAUGAGUAUUAUUCCCAGUUGUUAAAUAGUAGGCUUUGGGGACAUUUUCUAGGAUGAAUCAUUUAGAAGUUUUUGUUAUUAGUAAUUACUCUUGUUAAUCUAUUUUCUUUGUAUUAGUAUUCCAGAAUGUUGUCCAGAUACUCGUGAGAGGCUGCAUGAUUUCUUCACCACUAAUAGAUGCCUAUGAUGAGUUUUCUUACAUGACUACAUCACUGUAUUUAGGCCUUUAAGUCAUUCUACUCACUCAAACUUUGUAAAAAAAAUGGUCGGAUAAUCUGUGUUGCUCCAAAGUGUCCCUGGGCAGUGUUAUUUUAGCUGAACAGGUCAAGCUUGUUUUUAAAUAUUCAACUUCCUUUCACGUCCUUGUCUGAAAA
rnacentral:lncRNA from 1 species